GGGGUGGUGGCACAAUUGGCUAGUGUGUAGGUCUCAUAGCUUUAAGAGUAAUCCUAAUGUCAAGAGUUCAAACCUCUCUCACCCGA
rnacentral:tRNA from 1 species